rnacentral:rRNA from 1 species
AUUGAACGCUGGCGGCAGGCCUAACACAUGCAAGUCGAACGGUAACAGGAAGACGCUUGCUUCUUUGCUGACGAGUGGCGGGCGGGUGAGUAAUGUCUGGGAAACUGCCUGAUGGAGGGGGAUAACUACUGGAAACGGUAGCUAAUACCGCAUAACGUCGCAAGACCAAAGAGGGGGACCUUCGGGCCUCUUGCCAUCGGAUGUGCCCAGAUGGGAUUCGCUAGUAGGUGGGGUAACGGCUCACCUAGGCGACGAUCCCUAGCUGGUCUGAGAGGAUGACCAGCCACACUGGAACUGAGACACGGUCCAGACUCCUACGGGAGGCAGCAGUGGGGAAUAUUGCACAAUGGGCGCAAGCCUGAUGCAGCCAUGCCGCGUGUAUGAAGAAGGCCUUCGGGUUGUAAAGUACUUUCAGCGGGGAGGAAGGGAGUAAAGUUAAUACCUUUGCUCAUUGACGUUACCCGCAGAAGAAGCACCGGCUAACUCCGUG